AGUGGGAUGGAGCAGUCUGGGUAGCUCGUAAGGCUCAUAAUCUUAAGGUCAUAGGUUCAAAUCCUAUUCCCGCUA
rnacentral:tRNA from 1 species